rnacentral:rRNA from 1 species
AUUGAACGCUGGCGGCAGGCCUAACACAUGCAAGUCGAGCGGAUGAAGGGAGCUUGCUCCUGGAUUCAGCGGCGGACGGGUGAGUAAUGCCUAGGAAUCUGCCUGUUAGUGGGGGAUAACGUCCGGAAACGGGCGCUAAUACCGCAUACGUCCUGAGGGAGAAAGUGGGGGAUCUUCGGACCUCACGCUAUCAGAUGAGCCUAGGUCGGAUUAGCUAGUUGGUGGGGUAAGGGCCUACCAAGGCGACGAUCCGUAACUGGUCUGAGAGGAUGAUCAGUCACACUGGAACUGAGACACGGUCCAGACUCCUACGGGAGGCAGCAGUGGGGAAUAUUGGACAAUGGGCGAAAGCCUGAUCCAGCCAUGCCGCGUGUGUGAAGAAGGUCUUCGGAUUGUAAAGCACUUUAAGUUGGGAGGAAGGGCAGUAAGUUAAUACCUUGCUGUUUUGACGUUACCAACAGAAUAAGCACCGGCUAACUUCGUG